GAGACCGAGUGUGGAAAAUGCGGCUGGAUAACGGCUAGCAAGUUAAUGGUCUUUCAGAGCUGCGACAGAUGAGUGGGCAACUUGGAACACAGCCCGAGUGUGGGCGUGGCAACAACUCACCAGGCCUAGGGAGCCUCAGCUUCUGCCUUCUGAGCUCCUGCUUGCCUACAAGUGUUUUCCUCCUCUUAAGGCGACAUAUGGUUGUUAUCUAAUAUGGAAUACAUUUUAAGAGGCAAAUGAACCUUUCAAAAUGUCACUUGAAUGAGGAGGCAGGAGUAUCCAAACCUGGUGUCUGAAUACCACAGGUUAUGUAGUGCUAAUGUAAUCAACAAAGGUCAUUCUUUCCUUUGGCGUUCAAAACCCUUCAUGAUUCCAGUGCCUACCUACCUCUGUCCUCCUUUGGACCUGGGCCACCUUAAAUUAUCUACCCAUCUUUGCAGCAAACAGCUCCUGGUUUCCACAUGUCACAGGCAUUCUCAGAACCUGUGUGACUCAGGUGGAGCUCCAUGCCUCUUGGACAUCCCUGCAUUACCCCUGAUGAUUUUUACCCAAAUCCUGGUCCAACUGAUUUGCACCCUUAUGGAAAUCUGAAUUAGUUUUAUCUUCAUGGUACUUUGUAUUGCGUUGUUGACAUUUGUUUCAGUCUUAUCUGUGAUAUUCGUCUUUAUUCUGUACCUGGCACUUUAUACCUAGAAAGUACACAAAGGAUGUUUUAUUUGAAAAAUGUGAAUAAAUGAGGGCAUGGGUGAUAGCAUGCAUACAUCUUUCCUUUCUGUAGAAAAAGAAUAGAGCUUUUCUAAGAGCCCUGUGUGGAUUCGUUGCAGUUGUGAAAAUGAAGUCUCCUGUGUGUGACAGACCGAAGCUUUUCCUGUUGCUCAUUGAGUAAGAGACCUUAAAAGGAUCACUGAGAGUGUCUAGUACCAAGACAUUCAGAAAGUGUUUUUAAUUUUCAGAAUUUUCAUUAGUACAUGUUUGCAGUGCAUAAUGAUUAUACUUGUUGUGGGGAGUUGUAAUACAUCGAAUUUUUUUUACAUCCCCUUAGGAAAAAGUUUGUUGAAGAGCUCCUUUGUCAGCCCCACAUUUCAAACUCUAUGGGCAGCAUAUGCAAUGGAUUAAUCCAAGUGAAUAAAAAAUGAUUUUCAUCUUUCUUCUAGACUGAAGAAGUUACUUUUGCUCUUGGUUGUUAAUGUCAUCCUUAGAAAGCAGCAGUGCAAAGGUUCUGCUAUGUGCAGCUAAGCCACGUAUUCACCAGGUCUCUUCCGUUUUCACAGCCCCAGCAAUUUACCGUGGUUAAAAUAUAGCCCAAGGAAGUGCAAAGCAGAUCAGAUCCUCAAACUCUCUUCCCCUGGAGACCUUGAACUUUAUUAAUCCCUCAUAUCUAAAUGUACAAUCUUUCUUGCUCUCUUUUCAUGUGAUUACAACAGUCACCAUUUACUGAACAUCCAUAUGUGAGCUAUUAAACUAGAUAAUUUACUUAUGGUGUCUCAGUUCAUUGGAUGACUGACAUUAUUAUUUCCAUUUGAAAAAUGAGGAAAUUAGGGCUCAGAGAGAAGAUCAGAAACUUGCCUGGAGUCCCAGAUUCUGAACAGGAGAUUGAUUGGAAUUUACGCCUGUUAACUCCCAGGACUGUUCAGAGUUUGGUUUCCAUGGGAGAAAAACUGCCAGAUCUCUCUGUUCCUUUUUGAGUCCUCCACUUUUCAGAUUUUCUACCAGGAACAUCGAUGGGCUUCUAAAAUUAUCCUAGUGGAUCUCAUUCUGAGAAGCAGUGCUUUUGUAAAUUCGUUAUUUUUAUGCCCCUUUAUUUUUAUUUAUUUUUAUUUUUUAUUUUUUAUUUUUUGGUACCAGGGAUCAAACUCGGGUCCUUGGUUUGCAAGGCAGGUGGCGGAACCACCGAGCUAAAUCCCUGGCCCAUUAUGCCCCUUUAAACUCUCAUGGCCAUCAGUUAGAAAAGCCAGGUUCAGAAGCCCUAAUAAGAUCUUUGGACACAGAACUUUUUGCCUGGAGUUCUUUUCUUUUUUCUCCCCCAGCCUAUCUGAGUUCUAUUAUGUUCCUUUCUCCAGCAGUAUCGCUGCUUCUGGGGAGUAUUUCUUGACCCGAUGGGGCUACCUUCAUCCUUUCCUCUAAUCUCUUGCAUUGCCUGAAAUUACCCUAGGUUCAGUGUCUUCUUACCGAAAGACCUUAGUGAGCUCUCGCGUAGGACAGGGACUGUACGUCCAGAACAUAACCUGCUACAUAGUGGUCUUUCAGAAACUGUCAGUGAUGAGCUGGUCAUGAGUAAAAUGCAGAAAUGUAGGUAUGAAACACUAUUUUCUGUUGCAGAAGAGGGGUCAGUAGAAAGAAUAAUGAUUUUCUGAGUUAAUUUUCACCUUUCUCAUAUGACAGCCAAAAGAGGUAAGCACCGAGUGGAAGUAUGCCAGAGUAGAUCUGUGUAAUGCUGAGUUUUUAUGUGCUUGACUGAUAACAGCACCAAAUAAUGACAAUAUAUAAUGACUUUAGGUGGCAUGAGUGAAGCUAUUGCUGUAGUACUCUCCCCCAAGCUGUCAUGCCCACCUUCUGGCAAAGCUUCUAGGAAAGGAUGUUUUGCUCUACAUCUGAGAAAACUGAAGGGAUUCCCUAACUGUAGGUAUAGAGGGGGAAGAAGCAAAGCAAGCAAACAAGCGAAAAACAAAGGGUGAGGUGAGGAAGGAAGGUAAUUCCAUUUUCACCUCUGAUAUCACCUCUGGGACAGUGUAAGGUUAGUGUGGGUUAUAGAUGUGGGCUUAAUUAAAUAAUGUAUUGAUGGGGAUGGUAAAAAAUACCCCGGCAGCCUCUUCUCUGUGGGUGGAAGAAGCUGUCACCUAUGAGACUGAACCUAUCCCUUAAGACUGAUAAAAAAGCCUUCCUGCCAGGGAUUUAGCUCAGUUGCACUGUGCAUGCCUCGAAUGCGCAAGGUACUGAGUUCGAUCCCCGGUACAAACAAAACAAAACAAGCCUUCCUUUCCUGUGACUUUCAAAGCCAUGGCAUAAACACAGUGUGGCAAAAAUUGUUACAAGCACAUUACACAUCAGUCUUUUUUUUCUGGUACUGGGAAUUGAACCCCAGGCCUGGCUAUAUCCCCAACUUUACCUUCAUCAUUUUAAAGGAGACUAGGCCAGUUUUGGGGGUUGCUAUAUCUGGGGGGCAAGUCACUUCUGUGCAUCCAUAGGUAGCACUAGUGUUCUGACAAGAUGUGCUGACGUGUGCUGGAUGGCCAGAUGUCAUGCUGCAGAUGUCCCCUUCCUGUGCAGGCUCAAGUCUGUGUCAUAUUGCUAGGUGUAGUAAGGGAAAAGGGCCAGCUUUUACUCAGAGAGGCACUUUAGGCAUGUAUUGUCUUCUAUUUAUUUUAUUUUAUUUUUUGGGUACCAGAGAUUGAACUCGGAACCUUGUGCUUGCAAGGCAGGUGGCAUAACCACUGAGCUAAAUCCCCGGCCUGCAUAUAUUGUCUUCUAAGAGCUUAGUGAAUCUCACCCUAAAUUACAAAACAGAAACUGUUCUUUCUGGGUUUUUUUGGUACUGAGGAUCGAACUCAGGUCCUUGGGCUUGUGGGGCAGGCGGCACAGGCAGUGGAACCACUGAGCUAAAUUCCCAGCCCUCUGGGUUUUAUUUACUAAGAAAUGCAUCACUCUGGUCUCUGUCCCAGUGCUGUGCAUGUUUAUGGGGCUUGCACAUUGCUGUUGGAUGCUUGAAGAGGUUUAGGUGCAGGGCAUGACUGGAAGAAGACUUUUCCAGUUGUUAACUGCUUUUCCCCCACACUUGAGAAUCUGAGUUUCAAAGAAUCACAUUUCCCUUCUAAGUUUUUGGUAAUUCCUUGCCAGGUAUUGACAGUGAUUUCUGGAAGUAGUAGGUGUUUUUGAAAGCUGGACUUAAAAAAAAUUCUGUUAGAAUGUAACUGUUAACAAAACAGAAUCUAAAAUAGUGGGUAGUGUCUUAGUUACUUUUCUCUUGUUCCUGAAACAAGAUACCCGACACCCAAAGUUAAAGAGGGAAGGAUUUAUUUAGCUCAAAGUUUGUAGAGGUUUCAGUCCAUAACUAGCUGGCUCCAAGGCAGGAUGGCACCUGGCAGAGGGGCAUUGCAGAGGAGAUACAGUUCAUGGCGGGCUGAAGGUAGCAAAGCAACAAAGGACAACCACAGGUCUUUCUAUCUCUUAUAUCUUAUCCAGGCUACUUAGGGCAGGUAGCACUCACACCCGUAAUCCUAGUGCCCUUGAUCCUAGUAUUGCACCAUGAAUCAAUCCCAGCGUCACACACUUGAGAUCCAGCCUCUGAAAAAGCCCCACCUAUGACUGCAUGAGGCUUUAGAGGGAUAUCUACACACAAGCCAUAACAUUCCAACCCUAAGACUCGUACAUCCUUUUAUGCAAAAGGUAUUUAGUUCAUCUCCAAGAGUUGCCAAAAUCCUGACAGUUUCAACAUUUCUGAAAAGUCCAAGUCCAAAGUCUCCUCUGAGAUUUAAGGCGAACUCUUAGCUGCAAGCCCCUGUACAAAUAAAAAGAAAGUUAAACACUUCCAACCUUCAGUGCCCCAAAACAUUUCCGUUCCAAAAGGUAUAAAUGGGGGAGAGCAAGGAAUGGAACCAAAGUAAGUCUAACAUCAAGCAGGGCAAACAUUAAAUCUAAGCAGUUCCACUUCCGGCACCUCCAAGAAUCUGUGGCAGGUUAUGAACUCCAAAGGGUUUGGGUGACUCUGGCCCUACAGCACUGCUGGUUGUAGCUCCCAUGGCUUUUCUCUUCAGCCAGCUCAGCUCCCUCCUUACAGUUUUCCUCAGAUGACCCAUGUUCUUGUCAUCUCCAAACUUCUGGGAUCGCCACUGCACCUUCGGGUUCCCAGUCACAGCUUCACACACUACCCUCCCAGGGGCACACAGCCUGGCCUCCCAGGCCUUCUUCUGAAAUCUGGGAGGAAGCCUUCCUGACCUCACAAUUCUUGCAUUAUGCAUGCACCUAUAACCAGCACCACAUGGAUGAUGGCAGGGUCUGCUGCUAGCUGGAGCAGUAGCCAGGCUUCCUUCUGUCUUGGCUAUAGGGGUCCAGUGCCUAUGAAGCAAAUCUUGAGGAACAAUUUCCCUGGGCUGUUGCUAUUCUGGAACAUGGUGCUCUGGGGCUCUCCUCUCAAAGCAAAGUCUUUCACUUUUGCAAUUUUGAGGCUGCAAAGGCUGGAGUCCUGCUUCUUGUGAUAUCCUCAGACCAUCUUUUCUCUUCUCCUGUUCCUUCUCAGCAAUCAAGAUCUCCUUUGCUCUGUCUUUGCAUUCCACAGCUUUGCUGCAGCUUCCUUUCUGGCCAAACUCAAAACAUUUUAAAUCAUCAUUCUGGGCUCUUUGCUUUUGAUUCUCAACAUAAAUCUGGCUAAAAGCUUCCAAUAGUAGCCAUGCCACCACCUCAACAUUAGACUGCCUUGAAAUUUCUUUUGCCAGAUUAAUUAGUCCACUACACUUAAUCUCAGUCUUAGGCAAAGUCUUUGGACAUAAGCAAAAUGCAGACAAACUUUCUGCCAAAGUAUAACACACAUAGUCUGGUGUCCAGCAGCCAAUGGAGUCCUUCUUCCCAGCAGAAACCUCC
rnacentral:lncRNA from 1 species